AGAAGAAGAAUAUCUUCGCUUUCUCCAAGAUCUCACUAAUGAUAUUUUGAUUACAAGUUGUUACCACGGAGAGGCAUUAGAAGAUGUGAUUCAAAUGCACAUUAAAAGUAAGAGGCAUAACCUUGAUGAGGGAGUGAGACUGCUAAUUCCAGCCUUGAGAGGGAUUUAAUGCUCCAGUCCUCCUCUAGAUCCUACUUUAAAGACC